GACGAACGCUGGCGGCGUGCUUAACACAUGCAAGUCGAACGGAAAGGCCCUGCUUUGGUGGGGUGCGCGAGUGGCGAACGGGUGAGUAACACGUGAGUAACCUGCCCUUGACUGUGGGAUAACUUCAGGAAACUGGGGCUAAUACCGGAUAGGAGCUCCUGCUGCAUGGUGGGGGUGGGAAAGUUUCGGCGGUUGGGGAUGGACUCGCGGCUUAUCAGCUUGUUGGUGGGGUAGUGGCUUACCAAGGCUUUGACGGGUAGCCGGCCUGAGAGGGUGACCGGCCACAUUGGGACUGGGCUACGGCACAGACUCCUCCGGGAGGCAGCAGUGGGGAAUAUUGCACUAUGGGCGGAAGCCUGAUGCAGCAACGCCGCGUGCGGGAUGACGGCCUUCGGGUUGUAAUCCGCUUCCGCCUGUGACGAAGCGUGAGUGACGGUAAUGGGUAAAGAAGCACCGGCUAACUACGUG
rnacentral:rRNA from 1 species